rnacentral:lncRNA from 1 species
GUUUUCGACAAGUGUGAACAAGGUAUUUACCUUGCAUGUACACUGAAACUUUGCUAGUUGCCCCUCUGGCAUUUAUUCACUUGCCAGAAAUGUUUAUCAUGGAGUAUAGCAUGAAUAGAAUUGUGACAUUCAUGCAAUUGUAGCAGAUUGCUACAAAAGAAAUUCAUUCUGCAACAAUGAACUGUGGAAUUGUAGCUUUGAAGUUCAGUAUAAAUACUGGAGCUUUUGUAAGUUUGUUUUAUAUAGGAGUAUACUGUGCUCCACAGCCAGUGUAUGGCUGCGAUUAAUGCUAAUAGGAAUCAUUACGUGAUGGACUACACGUAUUGCUUUCUAGGAAUAACCUCGAGUGAAGCAACAAGUAUGCCCACAUUUGGCCAGGGAGACAAAGGCACAGCAGGGACCCAGUUGUCAGAGACAAACUCGCCACAAGGUGAACAGACAGCGCAAGAACGGC